GACGAACGCUGGCGGCGUGCCUAACACAUGCAAGUCGAACGGAAACGCCCUGCUUUUGUGCGGUGCUCGAGUGGAGAGCGGGUGAGUAACACGUGAGUACGCUGCACUUGCCUUUGGGAUAACUUCAGGACACAGGGGCUCAUACCGGAUAGGAGCUCCCGCUGAAUGGUGGGGGCUGGAAAGUUUAGGCGGUUGGGGAUGGACUCGCGGCUUAUCAGCUUGUUGGUGGGGUAGUGGCUGACCAAGGCUUUGACGGGUAGCCGGCCUGAGAGGGUGACCGGCCACAUUGGGACUGAGAUACGGCCCAGACUCCUACGGGAGGCAGCAGUGGGGAAUAUUGCACAAUGGGCGGAAGCCUGAUGCAGCAACGCCGCGUGCGGGAUGACGGCCUUCGGGUUGUAAACCGCUUUCGCCUGUGACGAAGCGUGAGUGACGGUAAUGGGUAAAGAAGCACCGGCUAACUACGUG
rnacentral:rRNA from 1 species